rnacentral:rRNA from 1 species
AGGGCUUGACAUACUGAGGACGUACUUAGAGAUAAGUAUUCUCCUUCGGGAGCCUCAAUACAGGUGGUGCAUGGUU